rnacentral:rRNA from 1 species
UAACGCGGAAGAACCUUACCAGGUCUUGACAUCCUUUGAAGCUUUUAGAGAUAGAAGUGUUCUCUUCGGAGACAAAGUGACAGGUGGUGCAUGGUUGUCGUCAGCUCGUGUCGUGAGAUGUUGGGUUAAGUCCCGCAACGAGCACAACCCCUAUUAUCAGUUGCCAGCAUUCAGUUGGGCACUCUGGUGAGACUGCCGGUGACAAACCGGAGGAAGGUGGGGAUGACGUCAAAUCAUCAUGCCCCUUAUGACCUGGGCUACACACGUGCUACAAUGGACGGUACAACGAGUCGCAAAGUCGCGAGGCUAAGCUAAUCUCUUAAAGCCGUUCUCAGUUCGGAUUGUAGGCUGUAACUCGCCUACAUGAAGUUGGAAUCGCUAGUAAUCGCGGAUCAGC